rnacentral:rRNA from 1 species
GACGAACGCUGGCGGCGUGCCUAAUACAUGCAAGUCGAACGCAGUGGGGACGGGUGAGUAACACGUGGGUAACCUCCCAUCAGAGGGGAUAACACUUGGAAACAGGUGCUAAACCGAUACUGAUGGAUGGACCCGCGGUGCAUUAGCUAGUUGGUGUGGUACCGGCUCACCAAGGCCACGAUGCAUAGCCGAGCUGAGGGGGUGUGCGGCCACACUGGGACCGAGACACGGCCCAGAGUCCGACGGGAGGCAGCAGUAGGGAAUCUUCGGUAAUGGACGAAAGUCUGACCGCGCAACGCCGCGUGAGUGAAGAAGGUUUUCUGAUCGCAAACCUCUGUUGUUAGAGAAGCGGUAUCUAACCAGAACGACACGGCUAACGACGUGCCAGCAGCCGCGGUAAUUC